UCCUGGUCUGCCCAGGUGGCCUUCGAAUAC
rnacentral:piRNA from 1 species